AUUGAACGCUGGCGGCAGGCCUAACACAUGCAAGUCGAGCGAGCGGCGGACGGGUGAGUAAUGUAUGGGGACUGCCCGAUAGAGGGGGAUAACUACUGGAAACGGUGGCUGAUACCGCGUACUGUCCGAUAACCCAUAUGGGGUUAGCUAGUAGGUAAGGUAAUGGCUUACCUAGGCGACGAGCCCUAGCUGGUCGGAGAGGAUGAUCAGCCACACUGGGACUGAGACAAGGCCCAGACGACUACGGAGGCAGCAGUGGGGAAUAUUGCACAAUGGGCGCAAGCCUGAUGCAGCCAUGCCGCGUGUAUGAAGAAGGCCCUAGGGUUGUAAAGUACUUUCAGUCGGGAGGCGUUACCGACAGAAGAAGCACCGGCUAACUCCGUGCCAGCAGCCGCGGUAAUAC
rnacentral:rRNA from 1 species